rnacentral:lncRNA from 1 species
CUCCAAGAAACUGCCACCGGCCUGCGCGCCCAUGACCCGGACGUUCCGGGGCCCUGGCUCUAGCCAGCGGGCGCGAAGGGAGGUGGAGCUUGCGCGCGCCCCGCCCCCGUAGUGCUCCGCGCCCCGCCCCUCAGCUCGGGGAAGCUUAAGACCUGCACUCCAGCCCCACCCUAGGGCACUUCCGGGAGCCAAAUCCGUUGGCCUGAAGGAUAAAGAGUUUCCAAGUUCCCACUUGUGCAAAACAACUGCCGAGUGCCCUGCUGGUGUGUUGAGAGGGGCCUAGCAAAUCUAAGACCUGCUUUAAAGCAGCAAGAACUGGGUGCCUGGUUGCACCUCUUAAAUUCUUGAAAGUUUGCAAAGUGUUGUGAGGACCAGUUUUUGUCCCCCUCUGACAUUAAUUCUUUGAAGGAUGAAUAGUGUAUUUGAGUUGGUAAUGCCUGUUCAUUCUCCUGUCCACAAAACUCUCUGCUGUUAUUUCUUAUAUGACCCAUCUUUUAAGAAUGUUUUAUAAAUUGCUAUUUCUUGGAUAUCCCAUGAGGUACUACCUUUUUAUAAAGAAGAAAAUAUUUAUAAUUGCCUGUCACUCCAAUCCCCAUAUGUUUAAUAUAUUCGGGUGUGUUGGCCUCCAGAGAUUCUUUUUUUUUUUCUUUUUUUUUUUUUAGAGUAUCUUUUGACAGGUGAUGAUUUGAAUUGAUAAAUAAAACUGGUGCAUUAAAAUCUAAAAUUUCCAUGGCUAUUAUUUUUGAGUAAUAGUUUUGAAACUUCAUAGAUUCCCCUAAGUGUAUAUAUGCAUAUGUGUUACAUAUUUUAAUACCUGUCUUUAUCUUUUGUAUUCUUUUGGAUUAUUCACACAAGAUCUUUACAAAUCUCAAGAUACUUUGAAGAUUGCUUUAUUAUUACUACAUUUUAGAUUAACGUUAAUGCUUAUUUAAUUAGUUCAUGGUUAUUUUGCCUGAUUUUUAACAACGUUCAGGAAAUUACUUGUAUAUUAUACAAAAGUUCCCAGUGAACUAUGCCUUAGUUUUGUUUUUGCUAUAGAAAACAAAGAAUAACAGCACAUGCUCCAAGCUUGCUUGCUUAUUUAUUUAUUUAUUUAUUUAUUUAUUUAUUUAUUUGAGACUGGGUAAUGCUUA